AGAGUUUGAUCAUGGCUCAGGAUGAACGCUGGCGGCGCAUUUAAGACAUGCAAGUCGAACGAAAAUACUCAACUAAAAUUGAAUGAGGAUUUAUCCAAGUGAAGUUUUGCCCGAGUAUUUUAGUGGCGGACGGGUGAGUAAUACGUAGAUAACCUGCCUUAUAGACAGAAAUAACUAUUAGAAAUGAUAGCUAAUGUCUGAUAAGACCACACUUAGGCAUCUAAGAGCGGUCAAAGGGGUAACCCGCUAUAAGAUGGAUCUACGGCUGAUUAGUUAGUUGGUGAGUUAACAGCCCACCAAGACGAUGAUCAGUAGCCGAGCUGAGAGGCUGGCCGGCCACAUUGGGACUGAGACACGGCCCAGACUCCUACGGGAGGCAGCAGUUGGGAAUAUUGGACAAUGGAGGAAACUCUGAUCCAGUGACGCCGCGUGAAGGAAGAAGGUCUUCGGAUUGUAAACUUAUUUUAUCAGGGAAGAAACAAAUGACUGUACCUGAAGAAGAAGGACCGGCAAACUACGUGCCAGCAGCCGCGGUAAUACGUAGGGUCCGAGCGUUAUCCGGAUUUACUGGGUAU
rnacentral:rRNA from 1 species